CCUACGGGUGGCAGCAGUGAGGAAUAUUGGUCAAUGGGCGGGAGCCUGACCCAGCCAAGUCGCGUGAGGGAAGACGGUCCUCUGGAUUGUAAACCUCUUUAGGCGGGGAGAAAUGCAGGGCACGCGUGCCCGGAGGGAGAGUACCCGCAGAGUAAGCAUCGGCUAACUCCGUGGCAGCAGCCGAGGUAAUACGGGGGGUGCGAGCGUUAUCGGGUUUUAUUGGGUUAAAAGGCUUCGUAUGCGGAUUUUUAAGUCAGCGGUAAAAUGUCCGGGUUCAACCCAGUCCGGCCGUUGAAACUGGUGAUCUUGAGUGGCAGAGAAGUAGGCGGAAUUCGUGGUGUAGCGGUGAAAUGCAUAGAUAUCACGCAGAACUCCGAUUGCGAAGGCAGCAUACCGGCGCCCGACUGACGCUGAGGCACGAAAGCGUGGGGAUCGAACAGGAUUAGAUACCCGUGUAGUC
rnacentral:rRNA from 1 species